rnacentral:rRNA from 1 species
CGUGUGCUUACAAGUAGUCAGAGCCCGUUAAUGGGUGAUGGCGUGCCUUUUGUAGAAUGAACCGGCGAGUUACGAUUUGAUGCAAGGUUAAGCAGUAAAUGUGGAGCCGUAGCGAAAGCGAGUCUGAAUAGGGCGUUUAGUAUUUGGUCGUAGACCCGAAACCAGGUGAUCUACCCUUGGUCAGGUUGAAGUUCAGGUAACACUGAAUGGAGGACCGAACCGACUUACGUUGAAAAGUGAGCGGAUGAACUGAGGGUAGCGGAGAAAUUCCAAUCGAACCUGGAGAUAGCUGGUUCUCUCCGAAAUAGCUUUAGGGCUAGCCUCAAGUGAUGAUUAUUGGAGGUAGAGCACUGUUUGGACGAGGGGCCCCUCUCGGGUUACCGAAUUCAGACAAACUCCGAAUGCCAAUUAAUUUAACUUGGGAGUCAGAACAUGGGUGAUAAGGUCCGUGUUCGAAAGGGAAACAGCCCAGACCACCAGCUAAGGUCCCAAAAUAUAUGUUAAGUGGAAAAGGAUGUGGCGUUGCCCAGACAACUAGGAUGUUGGCUUAGAAGCAGCCAUCAUUUAAAGAGUGCGUAAUAGCUCACUAGUCGAGUGACACUGCGCCGAAAAUGUACCGGGGCUAAACAUAUUACCGAAGCUGUGGAUUGUCCUUUGGACAAUGGUAGGAGAGCGUUCUAAGGGCGUUGAAGCAUGAUCGUAAGGACAU